GAUGAAGAACGCAGCGAAAUGCGAUACGUAAUGUGAAUUGCAAAUUCAGUGAAUCAUCGAGUCUUUGAACGCACAUUGCGCCCCCUGGUAUUCCGGGGGGCAUGCCUGUCCGAGCGUCAUUGCUGCCCUCAAGCACGGCUUGUGUGUUGGGCCCCGUCCUCCGAUCCCGGGGGACGGGCCCGAAAGGCAGCGGCGGCACCGCGUCCGGUCCUCGAGCGUAUGGGGCUUUGUCACCCGCUCUGUAGGCCCGGCCGGCGCUUGCCGAUCAACCCAAAUUUUUUAUCCAGGUUGACCUCGGAUCAGGUAGGGAUACCCGCUGAACUUAAGCAUAUUAAGCGGAGGA
rnacentral:misc_RNA from 1 species